rnacentral:rRNA from 1 species
GACGAACGCUGGCGGCGUGCCUAAUACAUGCCAGUCGAACGCACAGUUUAUACCGUAGCUUGCUACACCAUACACUGUGAGUUGCGAACGGGUGAGUAACGCGUAGGUAACCUGCCUGGUAGCGGGGGAUAACUAUUGGAAACGAUAGCUAAUACCGCAUAAUAUUGAUUAUUGCAUGAUAAUUGAUUGAAAGAUGCUAUUGCAUCACUACCAGAUGGACCUGCGUUGUAUUAGCUAGUAGGUGAGGUAACGGCUCACCUAGGCGACGAUACAUAGCCGACCGGAGAGGGUGAUCGGCCACACUGGGACUGAGACACGGCCCAGACUCCUACGGGAGGCAGCAGUAGGGAAUCGUCGGCAAUGGACGAAAGUCUGACCGAGCAACGCCGCGUGAGUGAAGAAGGGUUUCGGAUCGUAAAGCUCUGUUGUAAGAGAAGAACGGGUGUGAGAGUGGAAAGUUCACACUGUGACGGUAGCUUACCAGAAAGGGACGGCUAACUACGUG